rnacentral:snRNA from 1 species
AAACCCGUCUGAUAGCGCUU